ACAUGUGUGUGGUAUGCACAUUUUUUGGCAUGUAUGUGCUUGUGCCUGUGGGAGCCUGAGCUUGAUGUUGGCAGCCACCCUUGGGUUUUCCUAAACCCAUAGCUGGCCGAUAUGACCAAUUUUGCCAGCUAGUUUGUCCUGGGGACUCAGGGGUUUGAAUUAUCAGCAGCCUGCAUGGCAAACCAUCUUCCUAGCCCAAGGAAUCUAUUUUUUAUAUGAAGCAAGAUUCUGCUUCAUCAGCAAAGCCAUUGGACAGUGACUUUCCCUGGUCAUUUGUCUUUAUGUGCCAGAUCAGAUUUGCCUACUGGGACCUUAGCCUCUACUGAGUUCUUCUCUAUACCCUGACCCAAGACCUCACACCCGGGUUAAUCAACUCCAGCAGUGAGGCAAGCCCCUAGUUGCUCAAAGACUGCAGGAAACAGUGGUAAGAGCCCUUGCCUUGGCUUCUGGGUGACAUGGCUUGUGAUCCUGACUAUGGCACCUGUUGUUUCUGCAUCUGUGGGAAAGCCAUCUUAACCUACAUGGGCCUUAGUUUCCUCUUCUUCAUAAUGCCUAUGUCAUUGCAUGAUGGGGUUUGACAAGGACCCAAGGAAAGGUUCUCCCAGUUGGAGCCAUUGGACAACCCCGAUGAUUGGUGUGUGUAUGUGAGGAAGUCCAUGUCAGUGGCUCUCUCACAUUUUAGCCCCUGUACCUGACGGUUGUCCUGCGCAUGUGUCUGCACAUCUGGUGAGUGGCUGAGUGAAGUAUGGUGUAGUUCUAGGCACUGGAAAUCAAUUCUGGUACAGUUAAGUAGGGCUAAGGGGCCCUUUGGUGACCUUAAGGAAGAGCUGGAAUAUAAGAGCUGGGGCCAAGAUUAGGAAUGACAGCCUGUCUUGGGCACAGUGGUGGGGCUACACCAGCUGCAGAAAGCUUCUAUUCCUGUCACCCUGUCAUUUCAUACAGUUCCAGGGCAGCUUCUAACUGGCUUCAGCAUAACACACAUGUAACCCCCACGCAGACAAUUAGUGUACCUCCUGAGCACAUAGCCAUUUCGGAAAGCAUUGCAUCAACAGAUUACCCCUGGGUGCCUCGGCCCAUGGCUUGUCUUCCAUGGCUUGUCUUCCUAAGCACUUAGCACAUGCUUGUUGUUAGGCUCUUGGUGCAAAAGACCACUGUUUACAGCCAGGAGCUCACAGCCAAAUGUGACUGAAUCAAGUCAGUCCCUUUUAUCAUAAGAUGAAUCUUACCCAUUUUAUACACUUCAGAUAACGUUCUAUCCAAAUGGCACAGAGAAAGCCGGGUGUGGUCGCACACGCCUUUAAUCCCAGCACUUGGGAGGCAGAGACAGGCGGAUUUCUGAGUUCGAGGCCAGCCUGGUCUACAGAGUGAGUUCCAGGACAGCCAGGGCUACACAGAGAAACCCUGUCUCAAAAAAACAAAAACAAAAACAACAAAAAACCAACAACAACAAAUGGCACAGAGGGCUUGGGUGGCUUUCCAAAGGAAACCCGAGCCACUGGUAGGAAGAUAGAAGCAGCAAUAUGUAUUCUAAUUAUUGUGACUCCCUCCUCCUAGGCUAUGGUGCCCUCAGCUGUAAAAUGGGUGUGAUAGUAACACAUAUGACAUGGGAUUUGUUUGCAGAUGAAAUGAGUGUGUAUCUGUAAGACUCAGAUUAUUCUAGAAGAUAGACUCUGUUCUGUCCAUGCUGGCUGCCCAGCUUUCCAAUCAUCUUGUCCUGCUUAUGUGUUGUUUUCUUAAUGGAAACCCAACAAUUGGUAUGCUUCUGGCCCAGUCACACCCUGAAAGCAGAUAACUUUUGUUAGGCAGAAGAGAGAAGCAUUGACCCUUGCUUGUAACCAUGGAGCCUGGACUUCUCAGGUAGGCUGGUUAGUUUUUUUUUUGUUGUUUUUUUUUUUUUAUCAACUUGACACAGCUAGGGUCAUCUGGGAAGAGGCAAUUUCAGCUGAGCCAAUGCCUCCAUCAGAUUGGCCUGUAGGCAUUUUCUUGAUUAAUGAUUGGUAGGUGAGGGACUGGCCCAUUAUGGGUGGUACCAACCCUAGGCAGGUGGUCUUGGGUUAUAUAAGAAAGCAGGCUGAGAAACAAGCCCAGGAGCCAUGUUUCUCCAUGGCCUCUGCUUCCGUAGCUGCCUCUGAGUUCCUGCACUACUUGAGUCCUGCCUUAUUUCCCUCAAUAAUGGACCUGUGAUCUGGAUGUUUAAACCAAGUAAACCUUUUCCAUCCCAGGUUGGUUUUUGGUGAGAAUAUUUUUUCACAUUGAUAGAAAGCAAACUGAGUUGUCAGGUUUCUCCUUGCACAGGGGUCUGGGAAGCGACUGCUAUAAAUGGCAAGCUGAUCUGGGGCUUCAGGCUGGGACCAGGCCGGCCCUUCUCUACAGAAGGUUCUAGGCCUGUGGCGUUGAUCCAGCCUUAUCCCCACACAUACUCACCCUACAAGACUGACUGGGAGUGAUUGAAAUGUAAGUGUCUGCUGGGCUGAGAUGCUAAAUUCAGGAUAGGGAGCAUAUGGACGGCUCCAUAUUUGUUUUCUGCAUAUCUGAUGUUAGCAGUUCGAAGCAUCAGUGGGACGCUCCCUGGAGAAUUUCAGUUCUGUAAAUGAAACAAUUAUUUUGGCAGUUUGGGAGAGAUAUAUUCAUAACUUUCAUGGUAUUUAAAGGGGAAAUGCACCUUCUCUGAGUCCCUGCUUCCCUUGCCAGAUACAAAGAAUGAAAUAAGAGUGCCCAGGGAAUAGACGGCAUAAAACAG
rnacentral:lncRNA from 1 species